AGGGUUCGAUUCCGGAGAGGGAGCCUGAGAAACGGCUACCACAUCCAAGGAAGGCAGCAGGCGCGCAAAUUACCCAAUCCCAAUACGGGGAGGUAGUGACAAUAAAUAACAAUAUAGGGCUCUUACGGGUCUUGUAAUUGGAAUGAGUACAAUUUAAAUCUCUUAACGAGGAACAAUUGGAGGGCAAGUCUGGUGCCAGCAGCCGCGGUAAUUCCAGCUCCAAUAGCGUAUAUUAAAGUUGUUGCAGUUAAAAAGCUCGUAGUUGAAUUUCGGGAUUUGUUAGUUGGUCGGGCUUCAUUGUCCGUACUGAUUUAAUGGAUUCUUACCUUCUGAAUAACCAGCAUGCUAUUAAGUUAGUGCGUUGGGGAAGCAGAUCUAUUACCUUGAAAAAAUUAGAGUGCUUAAAGCAAGCUAGUGCUUGAAUAGAUUAGCAUGGAAUAAUAAAAUAGGACGGCAUGGUUCUAUUUUGUUGGUUUCUAGGAUCACCGUAAUGAUUAAUAGGGAUAGUUGGGGGCAUUAGUAUUCAAUUGUCAGAGGUGAAAUUCUUGGAUUUAUUGAAGACUAACUUCUGCGAAAGCAUUUGCCAAGGAUGUUUUCAUUAAUCAAGAACGAAAGUUAGGGGAUCGAAGACGAUCAGAUACCGUCGUAGUCUUAACCAUAAACUAUGCCGACUAGGAAUCGGACGAUGUUAAUUUUUUAAUGACUCGUUCGGCACCUUACGGGAAACCAA
rnacentral:rRNA from 1 species